rnacentral:rRNA from 1 species
AACGAACGCUGGCGGCAGGCCUAACACAUGCAAGUCGAGCGGACCCUUCGGGGUUAGCGGCGGACGGGUGAGUAACGCGUGGGAAUAUGCCCUUCUCUACGGAAUAGUCCUGGGAAACUGGGGGUAAUACCGUAUACGCCCUUUGGGGGAAAGAUUUAUCGGGGAAGGAUUAGCCCGCGUUGGAUUAGGUAGUUGGUGGGGUAAUGGCCUACCAAGGCGACGAUCCAUAGCUGGUUUGAGAGGAUGAUCAGCCACACUGGGACUGGGACACGGCCCAGACUCCUACGGGAGGCAGCAGUGGGGAAUCUUAGACAAUGGGGGCAACCCUGAUCGAGCCAUGCCGCGUGAGUGAUGAAGGCCUUAGGGUUGUAAAGCUCUUUCAGCUGGGAAGAUAAUGACGGUACCAGCAGAAGAAGCCCCGGCUAACUCCGUG